rnacentral:rRNA from 1 species
GAUGAACGCUAGCGGCAGGCUUAACACAUGCAAGUCGAGGGGUAGAGGAAGCUUGCUUCCUUGAGACCGGCGCACGGGUGCGUAACGCGUAUGCAACCUACCUUUUACAGAGGGAUAGCCCAGAGAAAUUUGGAUUAAUACCUCAUGGUAUAUAUCAUUCGCAUGUUUGAUAUAUUAAAGUUCCAACGGUAAAGAUGAGCAUGCGUCCCAUUAGCUAGAUGGUAAGGUAACGGCUUACCAUGGCGACGAUGGGUAGGGGUCCUGAGAGGGAGAUCCCCCCACACUGGUACUGAGACACGGACCAGACUCCUACGGGAGGCAGCAGUGAGGAAUAUUGGACAAUGGGCGCAAGCCUGAUCCAGCCAUGCCGCGUGCAGGAUGACGGUCCUAUGGAUUGUAAACUGCUUUUGUACAGGAAGAAACACACCCUCGUGAGGGAGCUUGACGGUACUGUAAGAAUAAGGAUCGG